UCCAAACUGUAAACGAUGGCAGAGAACAGACAACAACAGAGAACUGGACCGAGCCAGAGAGAAAACUAGGAUAAAUAUCUGAGCGUCAUUUCAGAGGUGGAGGGAGCUGCUGGAUUUAUAAUGACUGAAGAGGGACGCAAAGUUUGCCACUUUCUGCUGGACAAUGGUCAUGUCUCACAGCACUGAAGAGUGGAGCCACACCCUGCUUGUUGCCUUGGUCCACAGCAGCCCCCUGGUCCAGCAGCAGCCUGCAGACUGCCAGCCUGCCACUUCCUGCUGCUGCUGUCAGAGCUGACAGGAAGACAGAAGGAGAGAGGUUCUCUAAAUGUCAGGUUUUCUCUAACAGACUGUCAGGUGUGUUGAUCUCCGGUCUCUCCUCAUCUUUCUCGUCUUCCUCUGGAAGAUCCAGCAGAUGUCCAGCUGCAGCAGCAAAUCCCAGUGCAGUCAAACCAUCUUGUGACUGAGCAUCCACCUGGAAAUACGACACAGAAGGGUGUUUGCGUUACCUGGGAUCGCAGAGGAACCUGUCGUCCUGACCCUCCUCUCUCCACAUCAGCCACUCCCUGAAGGAGGCGUGGUUUAGCAUCCUGCUGCCGUCACUCCGUUGCAGCAGG